UACGUAGGGUGCGAGCGUUGUCCGGAAUUAUUGGGCGUAAAGGGCUCGUAGGCGGUUUGUCGCGUCGGGAGUGAAAUCCACUGGCUUAACUGGUGGCUUGCUUUCGAUACGGGCAGACUGGAGGUAUGCAGGGGGAGAACGGAAUUCCUGGUGUAGCGGUGAAAUGCGCAGAUAUCAGGAGGAACACCGGUGGCGAAGGCGGUUCUCUGGGCAUGUCCUGACGCUGAGGAGCGAAAGCGUGGGGAGCGAACAGG
rnacentral:rRNA from 1 species